CUACGGGUUGCUCCAGUGAGGAAUAUUGCACAAUGGGGGGAACCCUGAUGCAGCAACGCCGCGUGGAGGAUGACGCAUUUCGGUGUGUAAACUCCUUUUAUAUGUCAAGAAAAUGACGGUAGCAUAUGAAUAAGCACCGGCUAACUCCGUGCCAGCAGCCGCGGUAAUACGGAGGGUGCAAGCGUUACUCGGAAUCACUGGGCGUAAAGGACGCGUAGGCGGGUUGGAAAGUCAGGUGUGAAAUCCUACAGCUUAACUGUAGAACUGCACUUGAAACUUCUAAUCUAGAGUAUGGGAGGGGGAGAUGGAAUUAGUGGUGUAGGGGUAAAAUCCGUGGAUAACACUAGGAAUACCUAAAGCGAAGGCGAUCUCCUGGAACAUUACUGACGCUAAGGCGUGAAAGCGUGGGGAGCAAACAGGAUUAGAUACCCUUGUAGUC
rnacentral:rRNA from 1 species